UACGAAGGGGGCUAGCGUUGUUCGGAUUUACUGGGCGUAAAGCGCACGUAGGCGGAUCGUUAAGUCAGGGGUGAAAUCCUGGAGCUCAACUCCAGAACUGCCUUCGAUACUGGCGAUCUUGAGUCCGGAAGAGGUGAGUGGAACUCCUAGUGUAGAGGUGGAAUUCGUAGAUAUUAGGAAGAACACCAGUGGCGAAGGCGGUUCUCUGGGCCUGUACUGACGCUGAGGAGCGAAAGCGUGAGGAGCGAACAGG
rnacentral:rRNA from 1 species